rnacentral:tRNA from 2 species
GCGCUCGUAGCUCAGCCGGAUAGAGCGGCGGUUUCCUAAACCGCAGGUCGGAGGUUCGAGUCCUCCCGGGCGCA